rnacentral:lncRNA from 1 species
UGAACUGUAUUCCCUUGCUCUCUAGGUGGACGCCUGAUUGGCAAAACUUGAACUGUAUUCCCUUGCUCUCCAGGUGGGCGCCUGAUUGACAAAACUUGAACUGCUCCUCUGAAACUGCUGCCUUUGAACCUAAUUACAACAAAACAAAAGAAAUUUUCUUGCCCCAGUUUGGUGCUGGGCGCAUUUGUGAAUGUUAAUUGAAUCAUGCUACCAAAUAUCUGGAUGAAUUUAAAAGCUAAAUCCCAUUAUCCAGGAGGGUCAUGAAAACUCCUAGUUAAAUGACAGUUUUAAAUCUAAAUUAUAUCUUCUAAAGGUGUGACUUCCGCUAAAUCUUGUUAUCUAAGAGGAUCUUAAAACUACAUCCCAUUAUCCAGAAGGGUCUUAAAAAUCAACAAUCAAGUCUUAUCUUAAAAGUGACAAUUUUUAUGGCUGAAUUAUAAUACUCUUCAACAGAACUUACGCUAAAUCUUGUUAUCUCAUGGAAAUAUUAAAGCUAAGUCCCAUUAUUCAGGAGGCUCCUGACAAUUUCGAAUUGAGUCCUAUCCUAAGAAUGAAAACUUCAAAGCCGACUUAUAUUUCUUUGGGGUAAGACUUAUGCUAGAUCUUGUACUCAUGCAUGUUUGAAUUUUAAACUGGAUCCCAUUUUCCAGAAAGGUCCUGAAAAUUUAUGGUCAAACCUGUUUGGUGCUUGCUUUUCCUUAUGGAGGGUUUCUCCGAAACAGACGAAAUUUUCUGCCCCUAUUUCAAUCAAAGAAAAAUCUUGUCAGUUUAAAAUGCGGUGGUUGGUUUGUGGCCUUGAAUUUGAGGGCGAUUUCUCUUUCACUUCCCACGAUAACGUUGAUUUCCACUCGAAGACCUUGCUUGUUUAUUGACUAACCACUUUCUUUGUCACUCAUAUCACAGAAAAUACCUCUUUUUCGUUCAGACCCAAUACCUUCUAUCUGUUGCAUUGCUCAUGAACUGACAUUUACCAAACCUUUGUGUCUCACAUGAAUCCCAAAGCACGUCAAUUUCCACCCACUCAGUGCGUAUGAUGUUCCUUCUCGACUUAAACCACUGGCCUUGGCCUUGAGGUCUAUUGCUCCAUCACUUGCCAUGAUAACUUUGAUUUCUGCUUGGAAGACCUUGCCUGUCACUAGUUAACCACUUUCUUUUGUCAAUUUUAUCACAGAAAAUACCUUUGAUCUGUUCCAACCCAACACCCUCUAUCUGUUGCAUUGUUCAUGAAUUGACAUAUACCGAUCCUCUGUAUUUCACAUGAAUCUCAAAGCACGUUGACUGUUACCAACUCAGUGCGCUUGCUGCUCUUUUCCUGACUUAUGCCACUUUGAUAUGCUAGCCAGAUCCCGUUUUGUGCAAUUGGAAAGAUGGUGGCAAAAUUUGAAGUCAUUUCUCACUCGUUCUAACCAAACAGACUUAGGAAGAGAAAGUAAACAAGACAAAAGGAACAGAGUAAAGGACAAUGGAACGAGACGAUUCCUAACAAGAAAACUACAAAGUAGAAACUUAUCAGAUGCGGAUACCAACUCUAAUGGCCAUGACAUGCACCUUUGGAGUAAGUGGCCUAAUCUUUCAAGCAAGUUUGAUGUUCGACUCUUGUUGUACCUCUAAGCCGUGAAAUUGGGCUUUCAUACUCCGAUUAUCCUAUCUGAUUCACGAUCUUUAUUCGACUUGUAGCGCCCGAAGGGUUUUCACCAUCAAACCUCUCUUAUUUUGUUCUUUCUCUCAACUCACCAUCGCCUUAUGGUGCGCCUGUGAAGGUUUUCACCAAUAAAAUUCUCUCAUUUUGUUCUUUUCUUCUUAUUUCCUCUGAUUCUGUAGAUGACAAGGCACCAGAGUAAAAACAUCAUAUGCUCCUGGCAUGUCUAAACUCAGCACUCUCAAAGAUUAUCGGGGAGGUCUUUCAGACUGUAAUGUGGCUUUUGGACGGGGUUAGAAAGAAAGGAUAUCAUAAAGGCUCAAAAAUAACUAAGACAACGAGGUUAAUUUAUUUACAACUUUUGGAAUCCAUUUUAAAAACUUUGCCCCAAUUUCUAAACAGGGGAAUUUGAAUCUAUUUUUCCCUUUUUUUUGAAUUUCCCACUCUCAAUUUCGUGGGAUUAUGAAAUAUUUUAUUUGGUAUGACCGAACCGUGAGACUGCCUACGUAUCUUGUGGUGACAAGAAUCAGGUCAAACGUAGUUCACGACACUACUUUUUGUUGCUACUUUCCUUUUUUCUCUUUUUUCCUUUUUCUUUUCCUUCUUUUUCUUUUUUUGUUCUUUUUUCUCAAUUUUCUCUUCUCUUUUUUUUAAUUUUCCUUUAGGAACGAACUUUCUAAAAUAAACCUAUGGGGACAUUAACUUUCUCUUCCUUUUUUUUGACUCUAACUUGAUUCCAAAAGAGGGAAGGUCAAAGAAAUUAGUACAUACUCAAAAGGGUAUCAAAUAGUAUAAGUGUUUGGGUAGCUGAAAGAGAGCUUCCCAAUCCCUGAAAAUACCAAGUACAACACAUGCGACUUGAAAUGAAAAUUGAAAAUCAUGCACAAUAUUUCUUUUGCGGCUUCGACAUUGAUAUCACUGAUAUGUCUUCCAUUUUUCUUUAGCUCCUUGUCAUGUACAGAACCCUCGUUGGGUGAUUCCCUCUUCACAAUGGAUAUCCUCCGUCAAUUCGGAGAGAACUUCAUUGACUUUAUCCUGUAACUUGAGAUGCACUUGAACUCAAAGUUGCUUGUUUCAAAUCGUCUGGGAUGCACUUUCCUUUAACUAAUUCUUGCCAUCCUAUAAACUUCCCAAAUUAUCUGCUCCAAUUUCACCAAGUCCGGGCUUCAAAUGAUCUCAAAAUGUCCAAAUCUGUACUUAUUACCCUCAAAUGUCCAUAUCAUCUUCAAAAUUGUUUCAUUACUCCAUGAAUAAACUAACUAUUGAGACCAGGUCUAGAAUUAUGCAUGCGUGUCAUGUCACUAGAGCCAGCAGGCAAGGAACUAAAAAGGAGAAAAGAACUAAACAAAAAAAUGACUAGAAAUAAAAGAAGACAAGAAAUAGCAUUAGACAGACGGUGAAAUGGUUCGAACAAUAAAACAAGCAAACCAAACUGGGGUUACAACCCUGGAACAAACCUAGACAACACCUGAUGAGUUAAUAUGACUAAACAAACCAGGCAAAAUAAAAAGGAUAAAAGGGUUUGAGUCAUAAGACAAUAUCCGGAUUACAACACUGAAAUCACCCGGACAACAGAAAUGACAACAAAAUAAACCACCAAGACUCCUCCCUGGCUAGCCAAGAAAGGAGCGUCUUUCCAAUUAUCAAGCUCGGUAUCUUAGCCACUGAGUUCCGCAUCGAUAUUGCCAAGACGAUUACCAACUUCAACAUUAUCAACUUUAGUCAAUAAGUUCCCAAGAGGAUUCGCAUGCUCCCUGUCACUGUCAUUGAUCACAAUUAUACCUUCUUGAAUCAUUCUAUCUAUUUCCCUUUUCAAAGAUCGACGAUCUUCAAUGCUAUGCCCUUGGACAUUAGAGUGGUACUUGCAUCGUACAGCAGGAUCAAAGCCUUUUGCAUAUGGGUUUGGAGUAUAGCCGAGGAGCGGCUCAAUCAGGCCAGAAUGCUUUAACUUUUCAAACAAGCUUGUAUAAGAUUCUCCCGAUAGGCGAGAAAGCAUUUUCUUUUUUCAGUAGUCUUUUCAUUUUAUAUUCUGGCCUCGGUUGGAACCUUUUGCGGGCAGGUGGUUGAUAUGCCUGAGGGGGCGGGUGAGACAUUUGUGGAAGUGGCGUGGGCCAUCGCGGGCCUCGGGGAUUUGAAGCAUAUGGUGGUGCAUUAUGGACGGGGUAUCGGGGAAGUGAUGUACGAUUUUGGGGGUUUUGUGGAGAGAAGUAGCAGUGGGGAGGAUUACAAGGAUAUCCAGGGGGUUGACAUUGAGGCUAAAAGCAUUUAGCAAGAACGACCACUGGACCCUGUCGUCGGCGGGGCUCAGCAACAUCUUUUCUAUCAACGGGAGGACUAUCCCGAGCAACUUGUUCGUUCCAUCUGAGCUAGAAAUCCCUAAAACUUUUCUUGGAUUUCUUUUCCAUCUAAGAUAGGGAGGAGCGGUUUGGGACAAUGUCUAUAUUGUACUGAAAGUGUCGCACAAAAUCUUGAGCCAUGUUGCCCAAUGUAUGUCACUUACCGACAUCUUGACGAUUAUGCCAUUCCAAAGCUGUCCUAGUCAAGCUCUCACUGAAAUACGUCAUUAACAAAUCAUCUUUCUCGCCAGCACCUCUCAUUUCACUGCAAUAACCCCUUAGAUGGGCUACCGGAUCUCCACCCCCAUCAUACAAGUUAAACUUUUGCACUUUAAACCCUGCGGGCAGGCGAACGUCAAGGAACAUACACAACUCUUUAUAAAACAUGCUAACCUGGUCUCCCGUCCCUUGCAUGUUUUUUAAAGACUGUUCUAUGCUUUUCAACUUCCUGGGUAUCUCAUCUCGCCCUUCUCUUCCUGUGAACUUUUUAUUUUCAACACGAGGCUCAUCUCGUGGGCCCUGCUUGUAUGAGUUGGGGACCUUGUGGGCAACCUCUGAGAGGUAAUGUUGGGCAUCAUGAGCUUUGAGUAGGUGUUCAUUGUCGGGGAUAGUGGAUGUGACAGGAGGGCACUUUUGGGAAAAGAUAGUUGGAGGACGAGUGAUGGAGCUACUAGGGUGGUUGUGAAAGUUGUGAUAAGCGGGUGGAUCUGGAGAGUAUGGAGGAUCAUCUGACAUUGGGUCCGGAGUUUGGGUAAGGGCAGCAUCUAGGAAGCUAGGUGGUGGCGGGGGUGGUGCCUUCCCAGUCAUCCAAGCCUGAUACAUGUCCGUCAUGUGUUGUCUUAACAUCUUUACCUCUUCAACCAACCCAUUGUCCUAUUCAAACAACUGCUUCCGGGGACUGGUAUCAACCAACUCAGUUUUGUUGUUGUCUGCCAUUGCCUUUUGACUUUAUGUUGUAGAGAAGAGUUAUCACUUUAAAAACCACAAACCAACCACCCUUCUUUUAUGAAUAUAACAAAAUGAAGCCAUCAUGUUAGCGUUAGGGCAUUUAACAUAAGAUAAUCUCACUUUAUGUGCAAUGCACCUAGCCACAGUUAUCGGUUCUAAAAUGACUUUGAGAGUACGAAGAUCAGUUGGCAUCAUCCCAAUUUGUUCAUUUCAAUCCUCUCUUUUCUUUGCUUUUCUCGAACUUGCUUGAUCAAUUUUCCUUCCUCUUUUUCUAAUUUCACNNNNNNNNNNNNNNNNNNNNNNNNNNNNNNNNNNNNNNNNNNNNNNNNNNNNNNNNNNNNNNNNNNNNNNNNNNNNNNNNNNNNNNNNNNNNNNNNNNNNNNNNNNNNNNNNNNNNNNNNNNNNNNNNNNNNNNNNNNNNNNNNNNNNNNNNNNNNNNNNNNNNNNNNNNNNNNNNNNNNNNNNNNNNNNNNNNNNNNNNNNNNNNNNNNNNNNNNNNNNNNNNNNNNNNNNNNNNNNNNNNNNNNNNNNNNNNNNNNNNNNNNNNNNNNNNNNNNNNNNNNNNNNNNNNNNNNNNNNNNNNNNNNNNNNNNNNNNNNNNNNNNNNNNNNNNNNNNNNNNNNNNNNNNNNNNNNNNNNNNNNNNNNNNNNNNNNNNNNNNNNNNNNNNNNNNNNNNNNNNNNNNNNNNNNNNNNNNNNNNNNUCCCUACAAUUUCAUCUCUUUUUUCAUCUUCUUUUUUUCCUUUUUCCUUUCUUUUCUUUUCUUUAACAAAGUAAAAAAAUGAUUCGAUCGAACCCUAUGUAGGUUACUUACGUAUCAUGACGCUGCAUGAAUCAGAUCUUUGCGUAGUUCUGGAAGAACGGGAAUAAAGUAAACAAACUAACGCUCUUUUUUCUUUUCUCUUUUUUUUUUUACCUUAAGGACUAUUCUUAUAAGAAAUGAGGAAUAAAAGAAGCAAAUCUUUUUUUUUUGAAUUUUCUAGACUUAAUGUUCUAUAACCUGUUGCAAAUUCAAGCUUAACGAGCAUAUAUUUUUUGCUUUUUUGUUUUUUUUGAAACAAACACUCUAUGGGAAAUUAUUAAGGAAAAACCCUAGAAGAGAAAAAAAAAUAUUUUUUGAUUCUUUUUUUUUUAGGAAGAAGAUCGAAAGAAUAAACCACAGAAAAAUAUUUUGAAUUUUCAUUUGAUAUCCUGAUGCAGGUGAAACAAGCAAUGAAAAAGAUAAAACAACAUGCUUUUGGAUUUCAAUUUGAUUGCCUAAAGGAAGAAGCUUUAAACAAAAUAUAAAGUAUGUUCUUUUUUCUUCUAUGUCCUAAAGUUCUUGGGAAAAUAAAAGAAUAUAUUUUUUUAUUUUUCAUUAAUUUCCCAAAGAAGAACAUCAAAAGAAAAUCUUUUUGGAUAUUUGAGAAUAAUGCUUUAAAGAAAACUUUUUAAAAGGUACUAAAAGGAUUUUUUUUUUUUGAAUUUUGGUCCUAAUAUAGUAAAGGGAAUAUAAAAAGAAUUUUUAUUUAAGUCCUAGAUAUUAAUUGCCUAGAGGAAAAACCACCUCCAAAAUACUUUUUUUUUCAUUCCUACAAUUAGUAUUCUAAAGAAAAUUCCUAACGGAAAUAUAAAACGCAAAUUUUUUAAUUUUUUUGGAUUUUUGAUUCAUUACACACCCUUUCAAUUGCAAAAUAGAAAGUACAAUAAUAAUAAUAAAACUCGACAUUACUAUACAAAGCUAAAAGUUAAAAGAUGACAUAAAAUAAAAAAAAUAAAAAAACAAACACAAAACAUAAAAAGAAAAGAAAAUCUUCUUUUAGUCCACUCCUGAAUGAGCGAUCCUGACUAGAUGUCCUGGGGCUCUGUCAUGCUCAAACUCCGAUAAGUAAAUCCACGCUUGUAUGAGAAAAUUAAAACCAAAUAGGUUAAAGACCUAGAGCUCUAUGUGAGACAAUAACCCUUCCUGUUGGAAACAUGCAAGACAUGAUUUAGGCUAUUUUUGCAAAAUGACUUAUUUGGCCAAAAGAUGGCUAGAAGUGCAAAAUUUGGCUAAGACCCCGCAAAGCCAAGAACCUAAGAUUUACUAGGAAGACCAGACCCUAUGUGGGCUGCCUACGUAUCACGCCUUAAAAGAUGAGAAUCAGGUAUGCGUAGUUCCGACAGAUUGAAUACGUGCAAGAAUUAAAAAAACAACUAAUUUAGAGAAAACAUAUUUUUUGUCUUUUUUUAAAAAAAAUGGUGAGACAUGUAACUUUUUUUGGAUUUUUUUCUUUUUCUUUUCUUUUUUUGAUUUUCUGAUUUAUGAAAAAAUGCAAAAUCUCUUCUUUUUUUUUUUGAAUUUUCAAGCUCUUUUUUUUAACAAGAAUGUGACAGAAAACAUAAUUGGGCCCCACUCGCUUUAUCUUCACACUUCAACCUUUUUUUCUUUUUCUUUUUCAUUUGCCCUCAACUAUCAUUGGUCUGCCAAAUGACCAUUUUACACUUGAAGAAAUGCAACAUGUAGCACAUAGGAUGCAUCAAGAGGUCUGUUAUUUUGGGUACACCUGUCCUAGACGGACCCAACCCCUGUGUUGAGUCCCCAAAGUCAGAUGCACGUGAUGCAAACAAGCGUUCAUACUAGGGAUCCGGCAUGAGGCUGAGUUAUUCGAGGUUUAAAACCUGGGUAUGUGUUCUAAACUGUGUACCCGAGCGGACAACUCGAGCCGAGGAGGGGGCUACGUACCGGGAACCAAAAGGCCAUCCGGCUUAGUAACUUGUCCGAGCCUCUUUCUUAUUUCAAGGUAUGACACUAACAGAAUAAGGAGUCUCGACCAGCGAGCACAUCCCCGAAAAUGAGAAACGAAGGGUUUCGUAGCAGUUUAUAUACAGUUCAGAUAAUAUCAAAGCGGUACAAGCAUCAUUUAACACAUUAGGCCCAAGCAUGUAAUUAGAUAACAGAUAAAGCCAAAUACAACAAUUCAUCUAAGCUCGAAUUCUGAACCCUGAACCAGAGAUUCUGGGUUCGGUCCCCAGCAGAGUCGCCAGAGUCGUCACACCUCCGUAAGGGAGUAUAAAGGGAGUUUUUUCCAACUUAAAGUGACAAUCGAAACGGGAUUAUUUAUUUAUUAAACUCAGAGUCACCACUUGGGAUAAUUUAUGAUGUCACAAGUCAGCGGUUCAAAUCUCGAAUCGAGGAAAAGAUUGACUCUGUAUUACAGUCUACGAACACAGAAAUCCGGGCAAGGAAUUUUGUUAACCCGAAAGAAAGUGUUAGGCAUUCCCGAGUUUCGUGGUUCUAGCACGGUCGCUCAACUGUUAUAAUUGGCCUUUUAUCUGAUUUUAAUACAUGUUUUAGCCUAUGGUGCCAUUUUAACUUAUUAACUGCUCUUAUUCAUUUUUAGGAAGACUGCAACGUCAUUUAAAAUAUGUCUUGAACCACGUCACAUAAAUGCACCCGCAGUCCGCAACACAUUUUAUAUAACAUUGUCGAGAUUUGGAUUUGGGUCACAUAAAUGCGCACCCGAGUUUAGGAAGGUAAAUUAUUAAAUAGCGCGCCUAAAGCAACUGCGAUAUAUUCAUUUCCUGAACUAAUCUAUUGUAGAGGUCAUGAUUUAAGGAUUGAACUACAGUACGCCAGCUCUUUUACAUUGUAACAAGGCUAAGAAAUUUCAACACUUUUAUCUAUUUUUUUAAUCCUUUAGCAAAUGAUGUUGUAUCUACUAUCUACUGUAUUUACAUUCUCAUUUCACACCGAAAAGCUAAAAGACAAAUUUAUGUGUAUUAUAAAAUAUGUUGUUCCCUACUUUGCUGUCAAUGCAUAAGUUUCAUUUUUUCCAUAUAAAUCAUCUUAUAUUAUCUCAAAUAAAUAGCAACAAUAAUAAGUGAAACAGAAUAUAAGAAUGGAAAUAAAAUUAAUUUUAAGGUGAAAUAGAGGUAAAUAAAGAUCACAUAGAAGACAAAUCACAAACAUUAUUAAUAAAUCAUUUUAAAAGAGAGGACAGAAACAUUCGCAUUUUGGGAUUCAUGAUUUUUGACGCCAAAGUUUAUAAAUUCAAGCUAACCUUACCUGCCAAAUCAUUUUUCAUUAAGCUCACGCCUAAUUUUCAACCUCUGUCAGUGGAUACCAUUCCAAUUCUCUUUAACAAAAUUUAAAUUGCUUUGUCUCAUUUAACAAGUAAAUAGUAGCAUAGUUUCAUGUAGUCACUAAACACAAUAUAGGCAUGAAAGGCAGUAGCAAUGAAGAUAGAUGAAACAAAACAUAAACAUGAAGAAUGCAUUAUCUACUAACUCAAACCACAAACAAGGUAAGGCAUCAAAGGAUUCAUGACAAUAAAUUAGAAUGAAAGUAGAGAAGGAACAGAAAUGACGGACCUUUUAUAUACAUGAAAAUUUAUUGACUACAAAGAUGUGAGCUCGACGAGAGAAUUCAAUCAAAACCGAACCAGGCACGGAGAACUCGUCGGCGACCUCGAACAAGGAUCUGGACAAAUAUUAUAGCGACUCGACUAGAUUUGGACAGUUAUUUCGAGUGUAAAGAAGUCGGUUCGAUGGAUGUUUGCGGCUGGUUUUGGACGGCAUUUCGUUGGAUCUCUGGUGCUGAUUUUGGGACAGCUUUUCUGGGAUUUUCGGACUGGUUUUUCAGCAAUUUCGCAGCUGGUUUGGCUGCUCUUUGGAGCUAUUUUACGGAUAGUUUUUGGGGUUGAAUUUCAGCUUGGUUUAGGGCUCUUUUCGUGGUGGUUUAAGGUGUUUCAGGGAUGUUUGAGCUGAAGUUUUUGAGGUUGAAAAGCUAUGGAUGAAGCUGGUUUUUAGGUGAAGCAACAUCGGGUUUCAGCUACUCUUUUUUUUUGGAUGCUUUUGGCUGCUUUUUGUUACUGAUUUUAGAGGGUCAUGUGGUUACUUUUGUCAUGAGAAGGGUUGGCCUUACAUGGCUAUGAAAAUUUGAUGGAAAAAGAGAAUGAAGUUUCCACCAGGAAGAAGAAGCAAAGAAUGGCGGAUGCUCCUCUUCGAUCCAAUUGUUGUUGCCGUUUUUUAGUCUAUAUCUAGGUCCUCAAAACGGC